GACGAACGCUGGCGGCGUGCUUAACACAUGCAAGUCGAACGGUAAGGCUCCAGCUUGCUGGGGUACACGAGUGGCGAGCGGGUGAGUAACACGUGGGUGACCUGCCCUGCACUUCGGGAUAAGCCUGGGAAACUGGGUCUAAUACCGGAUAGGACCGCACCGUGAGGGUGUGGUGGAAAGUUUUUUCGGUGUGGGAUGGGCCCGCGGCCUAUCAGCUUGUUGGUGGGGUGAUGGCCUACCAAGGCGGCGACGGGUAGCCGGCCUGAGAGGGUGGACGGCCACAUUGGGACUGAGACACGGCCCAGACUCCUACGGGAGGCAGCAGUGGGGAAUAUUGCACAAUGGGCGGAAGCCUGAUGCAGCGACGCCGCGUGGGGGAUGACGGCCUUCGGGUUGUAAACUCCUUUCACCAUCGACGAAGGGUUUCUGACGGUAGAUGGAGAAGAAGCACCGGCUAACUACGUG
rnacentral:rRNA from 1 species